GGGAGGGUCAGCUCCGGUCCUGGGUCGGGAGGGGUGGGGGCCAGAGGAUUCAGGGCCGGAGGUUCUGGUGGGGGCCCAGUGGGCGGGACCCGAGGACGGAGGGGCCGGGAGGCCGAGAGGGGCGGGGUCGCGGCGGGGCCUGAGGGACGGAGGCCGGGAUACUUGGGAAAGGAUCCGCCGGCCUUGAACUCCCGCCUCCGCCGCCCCUAGGCCUCAUGGCGGUCCGAGCUUCGUUCGAGAACAACUGUGAGAUCGGCUGCUUUGCCAAGCUCACCAACACCUACUGUCUGGUAGCGAUCGGAGGCUCAGAGAACUUCUACAGUGUGUUCGAGGGCGAGCUCUCCGAUACCAUCCCCGUGGUGCACGCGUCUAUCGCCGGCUGCCGCAUCAUCGGGCGCAUGUGUGUGGGAGACAGAAGAAAUUCUGGCAGAUGUGCUCAAGGUGGAAGUCUUC
rnacentral:lncRNA from 1 species